ACUAAGCGUACACGGUGGAUGCCCUGGCAGUCAGAGGCGAUGAAGGACGUGCUAAUCUGCGAAAAGCGUCGGUAAGGUGAUAUGAACCGUUAUAACCGGCGAUGUCCGAAUGGGGAAACCCAGUGUGAUUCGUCACACUAUCGUUAACUGAAUACAUAGGUUAACGAGGCGAACCGGGGGAACUGAAACAUCUAAGUACCCCGAGGAAAAGAAAUCAACCGAGAUUCCCCCAGUAGCGGCGAGCGAACGGGGAGCAGCCCAGAGUCUGAAUCAGCUUGUGUGUUAGUGGAACGGUCUGGAAAGUCCGACGGUACAGGGUGAUAGUCCCGUACACCAAAAUGCACAGGUUGUGAACUCGAAGAGUAGGGCGGGACACGUGGUAUCCUGUCUGAAUAUGGGGGGACCAUCCUCCAAGGCUAAAUACUCCUGACUGACCGAUAGUGAACCAGUACCGUGAGGGAAAGGCGAAAAGAACCCCGGCGAGGGGAGUGAAAAAGAACCUGAAACCGUGUACGUACAAGCAGUGGGAGCACCUUCGGGUGUGACUGCGUACCUUUUGUAUAAUGGGUCAGCGACUUAUAUUCUGUAGCAAGGUUAACCGUAUAGGGGAGCCGCAGGGAAACCGAGUCUUAACUGGGCGUUAAGUUGCAGGGUAUAGACCCGAAACCCGGUGAUCUAGCCAUGGGCAGGUUGAAGGUUGGGUAACACUAACUGGAGGACCGAACCGACUAAUGUUGAAAAAUUAGCGGAUGACUUGUGGCUGGGGGUGAAAGGCCAAUCAAACCGGGAGAUAGCUGGUUCUCCCCGAAAGCUAUUUAGGUAGCGCCUCGUGAAUUCAUCUUCGGGGGUAGAGCACUGUUUCGGCUAGGGGGUCAUCCCGACUUACCAACCCGAUGCAAACUACGAAUACCGAAGAAUGUUAUCACGGGAGACACACGGCGGGUGCUAACGUCCGUCGUGAAGAGGGAAACAACCCAGACCGCCAGCUAAGGUCCCAAAGUCAUGGUUAAGUGGGAAACGAUGUGGGAAGGCACAGACAGCCAGGAUGUUGGCUUAGAAGCAGCCAUCAUUUAAAGAAAGCGUAAUAGCUCACUGGUCGAGUCGGCCUGCGCGGAAGAUGUAACGGGGCUAAACCAUGCACCGAAGCUGCGGCAGCGACACUAUGUGUUGUUGGGUAGGGGAGCGUUCUGUAAGCCUGCGAAGGUGACCUGUGAGGGUUGCUGGAGGUAUCAGAAGUGCGAAUGCUGACAUAAGUAACGAUAAAGCGGGUGAAAAGCCCGCUCGCCGGAAGACCAAGGGUUCCUGUCCAACGUUAAUCGGGGCAGGGUGAGUCGACCCCUAAGGCGAGGCCGAAAGGCGUAGUCGAUGGGAAACAGGUUAAUAUUCCUGUACUUGGUGUUACUGCGAAGGGGGGACGGAGAAGGCUAUGUUAGCCGGGCGACGGUUGUCCCGGUUUAAGCAUGUAGGCUGGUUAUCCAGGCAAAUCCGGAUAAUCAAGGCUGAGGUGUGAUGACGAGGCACUACGGUGCUGAAGUAACAAAUGCCCUGCUUCCAGGAAAAGCCUCUAAGCAUCAGGUAACAUCAAAUCGUACCCCAAACCGACACAGGUGGUCAGGUAGAGAAUACCAAGGCGCUUGAGAGAACUCGGGUGAAGGAACUAGGCAAAAUGGUGCCGUAACUUCGGGAGAAGGCACGCUGGUGUGUAGGUGAAGUCCCUGCGGAUGGAGCUGAGACCAGUCGAAGAUACCAGCUGGCUGCAACUGUUUAUUAAAAACACAGCACUGUGCAAACACGAAAGUGGACGUAUACGGUGUGACGCCUGCCCGGUGCCGGAAGGUUAAUUGAUGGGGUUAUCCGUAAGGAGAAGCUCUUGAUCGAAGCCCCGGUAAACGGCGGCCGUAACUAUAACGGUCCUAAGGUAGCGAAAUUCCUUGUCGGGUAAGUUCCGACCUGCACGAAUGGCGUAAUGAUGGCCAGGCUGUCUCCACCCGAGACUCAGUGAAAUUGAACUCGCUGUGAAGAUGCAGUGUACCCGCGGCAAGACGGAAAGACCCCGUGAACCUUUACUAUAGCUUGACACUGAACAUUGAGCCUUGAUGUGUAGGAUAGGUGGGAGGCUUUGAAGCGUGGACGCCAGUCUGCGUGGAGCCAACCUUGAAAUACCACCCUUUAAUGUUUGAUGUUCUAACGUUGGCCCCUUACCGGGGUUGCGGACAGUGUCUGGUGGGUAGUUUGACUGGGGCGGUCUCCUCCCAAAGCGUAACGGAGGAGCACGAAGGUUAGCUAAUCCUGGUCGGACAUCAGGAGGUUAGUGCAAUGGCAUAAGCUAGCUUGACUGCGAGCGUGACGGCGCGAGCAGGUGCGAAAGCAGGUCAUAGUGAUCCGGUGGUUCUGAAUGGAAGGGCCAUCGCUCAACGGAUAAAAGGUACUCCGGGGAUAACAGGCUGAUACCGCCCAAGAGUUCAUAUCGACGGCGGUGUUUGGCACCUCGAUGUCGGCUCAUCACAUCCUGGGGCUGAAGUAGGUCCCAAGGGUAUGGCUGUUCGCCAUUUAAAGUGGUACGCGAGCUGGGUUUAGAACGUCGUGAGACAGUUCGGUCCCUAUCUGCCGUGGGCGCUGGAGAAUUGAGGGGGGCUGCUCCUAGUACGAGAGGACCGGAGUGGACGCAUCACUGGUGUUCGGGUUGUCAUGCCAAUGGCACUGCCCGGUAGCUAAAUGCGGAAGAGAUAAGUGCUGAAAGCAUCUAAGCACGAAACUUGCCCCGAGAUGAGUUCUCCCUGAGACUUUAAGUCUCCUGAAGGAACGUUGAAGACGACGACGUUGAUAGGCCGGGUGUGUAAGCGCAGCGAUGCGUUGAGCUAACCGGUACUAAUGAACCGUGAGGCUUAACC
rnacentral:rRNA from 1 species